rnacentral:rRNA from 1 species
GACGAACGCUGGCGGCGUGCCUAAUACAUGCAAGUAGAACGCAGUUGCGAACGGGUGAGUAACGCGUAGGUAACUGCCUCAUAGCGGGGGAUAACUAUUGGAAACGAUAGCUAAUACCGCAUACUGUGAGAUGGACCUGCGUGGUAUUAGCUAGUUGGUGAGGUAAAGGCUCACCAAGGCGCCGAUACAUAGCCGACCUGAGAGGGGGACGGGCCACACUGGAACGGGGAACCGGCCCAGAUCCCUAGGGGAGGAAGAGGUGGGGAACUUUGGAAAAGGGCGGAAAGCCGGACGCAGAAAGGCGGGUGGGUGGAAGAAGGUUUCCGGUCGGAAAAGUACGUUGUUAGGGGAGCGGUAACUAACCAGAAAGGGACGGCUAACUACGUGCCAGCAGCCGCGGUAAUAC